GCUCCAUGAUGAUAUAAAGGCUAAUGUGACUUGACCAGCUGGGUUGCGCCCUCAGCCCAUUCCUGUGUACGGGUCUGUAAUCUUGGUGGGCAGCGCAGAGCCGUGCGUGCUCGCUGUAAGGGCAGGCCGACAGAAAAUCCCCUUCCCCACAUCCCUGGAAGGCAAAUCCUAGGGGUGCAUCAGCUCCGAGCAAGUGCUUCUCGGAGCUGACGGGGGGGCUGCGGGAACAGGAUAGGAGAGUGCUCCCAGGUUUGGGUUGCAGGGGGCAACCCGUGUUACAGCUGGCAAGAUGUGAGCACACAUCUUUGGUAAUCUGAUGGCU
ensembl:snoRNA small Cajal body-specific RNA 10